UGGGAUUACAGGCAUGUGCCACCAUGCCUGGCUUUGUAUUGUUUUUUAUUUCUGAAAAUGAGCCAGGAUCUGAUCACAAAAGUCUAAUGAUGUACUCCAGUGAAGGCUCCAUUCAUGAUGGCUGCAGCAGAGCCCACAGCUGUCAGGUGAAAGCCAAAUGCCCCCAAGUCCCUGCAUUCACUUGGAAAUAACUCAUCUGUUAGACCACUACACUCUGCUCUCUCAAAGGUAAUCUUUUAGCCACAAUGAAUAUUGAAGAGAAGAGAAGGCAAGGGACAGAAGGAGAGAGUAUACCAAGAAUUAGAAGGGCCUGGUACAUGCUAGGAAAGCACUAUACCAUAGAGCUGUGCCCCCAGCCCUCAUGCUUUAAUACAAUCACCUGUGCCAUUGUCUCGAGAGGUGCCUGGAGGAGGUGAGAGAUUUGUUAGAAAGACUGUGUUGAUAGAUGAUGGUGGAUUUAAGCAGGCUGGAGCAAUGGAAGAGGAGUUAACAAUAUAACCACAAGCCUGGAUGUCACUUCAAGGAGUCCUAGUCCACCUUCCCACCCAGCCUUCCACCAACUCCGAGCAACCGGAAAAGGAAGUGUUAUUGCUCAGGCCCUCGAAGGCAGAGCUGACAGUGGCCCGGGAGGGGUCUGGGAAUCCUCGCGCUGCUGGUUGGGAGCCCUGGUGCCCUCAGUGCCUGCACCGCCAGGUGCUUAAUUGGCUCUGCUGCUGUAACUCAGGUGACCUCUUUCAGAGCUGAGACUUGCGUCGCAUUAGCCUUAGUGACACCUCUUAAUGC
rnacentral:lncRNA from 1 species